rnacentral:rRNA from 1 species
GCCUACGGGACGCAGCAGUGAGGAAUAUUGGUCAAUGGUCGGGAGACUGAACCAGCCAAGCCGCGUGAGGGAUGAAGGUACUGAGUAUCGUAAACCUCUUUUGUCAGGGAACAAAGGCGGGGACGUGUCCCCGGAUGAGUGUACCUGAAGAAAAAGCAUCGGCUAACUCCGUGCCAGCAGCCGCGGUAAUACGGAGGAUGCGAGCGUUAUCCGGAUUUAUUGGGUUUAAAGGGUGCGCAGGCGGUCUGUUAAGUCAGCGGUCAAAGCCCGGGGCUCAACCCCGGCCCGCCGUUGAAACUGGCAGU